rnacentral:lncRNA from 1 species
GUGAGUGAUAAUGAUGACGUCGGGGUGGAGAGUGACAAGCAACAACAGAGAUUUCAAUCUGCGGCUGACGAAUGGGCCCAUCAUAAUGCACUGGAAUGAAAUCGUAGGGACCACAUCAAAGGCAGCCUCCAGUUUGUGGGACGCAGUCCCAACACUCCAAGGAGAGAAGGCCAUAGAGUAUAUCCAGCAUAUGCGAAGGGAAAAACCACACGCCACUGAGAUAUUGAUGACCUCAGCGGCAGAAUGCUCUUCUGAAGGAGGAAGUCCGUGCACCGAAGGGGAGGUCAAGUGCCCAGCCACAGGCCAACUAUCCCUCCUCAGACAGCAUCCUCUACACCAAUGCCAAGGGCAGCACCACCUCUGCCUUUGAUGGGGGCUCCGACUGCAGCUCAGAGUUGGAGCCUGAAGAGGCCUGAAGUAGGAAGAAACUCCAGAUGGAGGCCAG